ACUGUGUUCCCGGAGGAGGUGUGUUUACAUCACCACGGGAACUAUGUUGCCGGAGGAGGUGUGUUUACAUCACCACGGGAACUAUGUUGCCGGAGGAGGUGUGUUUACAUCACCACGGGAACUAUGUUGCCGGAGGAGGUGUGUUUACAUCACCACGGGAACUAUGUUGCCGGAGGAGGUGUGUUUACAUCACCACGGGAACUAUGUUCCCGGAGGAGGUGUGUUUACAUCACCACGGGAACUAUGUUCCCGGAGGAGGUGUGUUUACAUCACCACGGGAACUAUGUUCCCGGAGGAGGUGUGUUUACAUCACCACGGGAACUAUGUUCCCGGAGGAGGUGUGUUUACAUCACCACGGGAACUAUGUUCCCGGAGGAGGUGUGUUUACAUCACCACGGGAACUAUGUUCCCGGAGGAGGUGUGUUUACAUCACCACGGGAACUAUGUUCCCGGAGGAGGUGUGUUUACAUCACCAUGGGAACUAAGUUCCCGGAGGUGUAGCUCUGUAGAUGUUGAUGUUUGCAUUCCAGAACAUAUUUAUUUCAGUCCUGCUAGGCUUCACGUCUCAGGAGAUUUACAUUUGAUUAGACCAGAACUUACAUUUCUAAAAAGAGAUUGGAUGUGAAUCAUGGUCAAUACUACUGGAGAGUUCAGUGUAGUUUAAACAGAUUGAAGAUGCAGCUGACUUUCUACCAUGUGGUGUAGUCCAGGAAUCCUGGCCCAUCAUGGAGCACUUCAUUUAAAUUAGAACUAUUUGCGGAGUGCAUAUCAGACCUGGGUUCAAGCACUAUUUGAGAUCUUUCAACACAAACGUAUAGCGUAUCCCCUAGCCUGGCUGGAGUGGGAUUUAUAGCUUGGGGACUAUUCAAUUAGUCUGUUAACCCAGACAAGCUCAAUGAAGCCCAGAUAAAGUGGUUGAAAUUACUUUGAAUAGUAUUUGAACCCAGGUCUGUUGCAGGCUGAAAAAGAGACUCAGUGCUGCAGACACACAUACCCUGAGGAGAGGAGCCUGGAGCCGUCUCUAGUCUAGUGGCUGUGGCCCCACAGGUCCAUAUAUGGUUCAGAGGUAUUUUUGUGGCAGUAGUCCCGGGUUUGAGUGCCUCUGUGCCGGUUUUCUACCGCAAGUGUCCUGCCAACAGCAGAUAGCCAGCCAGACAACCAGCCUACUACUACGUUAGAUACAAACCAACCUGUCAUUAUAAGUGGGACACACACACACACACACACACACACACACACACACACACACACACUGAUGCACACAUCAUUCUCAGUGACAGGCAGGUGGAAUGCUUUGUUUGAAGAUAUUGCUGGACUCCUCUGUUUAAUUAUUAGACAUUUACACACAAACACAACUAUACGGGGGGUGAAAAACACAUCUGAGUUAUUUAUAUGUGACGUUUAGAACAACACACGUCCCUCAACAUGACCUUUCACGAGAGGUCACAGAAUCUUAUCACGAAACAAGUAUUUGGUUAUGGGGUCAUUAGCUGGUGGAAGAGCCAGCCAGGCCAAUUUAGAAUGUUGUCUCGACUGUGACAUCACUGUGACAUCAUUGUGACAUUGACAGCAAGGGUUUCUAUUAGCCGGUAAUAAGCGGUUUUUGGACGAAAAAAAAUUGUAUAUAUAUAUAUAUAUUUAAAUAAACUAAAUUGGUGCCGGCCAAUUGUCUGGGAGGAGAAGAAAACAUCCCAUUGCAAAAUAAUCCUUUAAGUCUAUUCGUUGAUAGAAAAACAUUUGACUGGUUGUGAUUAUUGGUCUAUAGGUUAAUUUGCAUAAUUUUGUGGAAUUAAAUUGGGGCGUGUGUACAGUAUUCGUUAUCUAUCUUAUUUAUCACACCAUACAGAUAGAAAUCUGUCAGACAUCGCAAGAGCUGCUUCAGUAUCUUAAACAGAAAAUGCACAGUCAGUCUUCCUCAGUGCAGUAUGCAUUCAUAACAUAUACAGUAUCUCAAACAGAAAAUACCCAGUCAACAGAAGUCUUCCUCAGUAUGCAUUCAUAACAUAUAGUAUCUCAAACAGAAAAUACCCAGUCAACAGAAGUCUUCCUCAGUGCAGUAUGCAUUCAUAACAUAUACAGUAUCUCAAACAGAAAAUGCACAGUCAACAGAAGUCUUCCUCAGUGCAGUAUGCAUUCAUAACAUAUACAGUAUCUCAAACAGAAAAUGCCCAGUCAACAGAAGUCUUCCUCAGUAUACAUUCAUAACAUACAGUAUCUCAAACAGAAAAUACCCAGUCAACAGAAGUCUUCCUCAGUAUACAUUCAUAACAUACAGUAUCUCAAACAGAAAAUACCCAGUCAACAGAAGUCUUCCUCAGUAUACAUUCAUAACAUACAGUAUCUCAAACAGAAAAUACCCAGUCAACAGAAGUCUUCCUCAGUAUACAUUCAUAACAUACAGUAUCUCAAACAGAAAAUACCCAGUCAACAGAAAUCUUCCUCAGUAUACAUUCAUAACAUACAGUAUCUCAAACAGAAAAUACCCAGUCAACAGAAGUCUUCCUCAGUAUACAUUCAUAACAUACAGUAUCUCAAACAGAAAAUACCCAGUCAACAGAAGUCUUCCUCAGUAUACAUUCAUAACAUACAGUAUCUCAAACAGAAAAUACCCAGUCAACAGAAGUCUUCCUCAGUAUACAUUCAUAACAUACAGUAUCUCAAACAGAAAAUACCCAGUCAACAGAAAUCUUCCUCAGUAUACAUUCAUAACAUACAGUAUCUCAAACAGAAAAUACCCAGUCAACAGAAGUCUUCCUCAGUAUACAUUCAUAACAUACAGUAUCUCAAACAGAAAAUACCCAGUCAACAGAAGUCUUCCUCAGUAUGCAUUCAUAACAUACAGUAUCUCAAACAGAAAAUACCCAGUCAACAGAAGUCUUCCUCAGUAUACAUUCAUAACAUCUACUUCAUUGUUUUGAAACCGGAGUGUUUGAUAACACAUUAUGAGGCUUGUCUUACCUUGGUUCAGAGUAGCCUAGUCAACGUCUGUGGAGGCCAUUCUUAUACAUCAACUUUCAUUGUCCAGUAGCCUAGUCAACAUCUGUGGAGGCCAUUCUUAUACAUCAA